UACGUAGGGUGCGAGCGUUAAUCGGAAUUACUGGGCGUAAAGCGUGCGCAGGCGGUUUGCUAAGACCGAUGUGAAAUCCCCGGGCUCAACCUGGGAACUGCAUUGGUGACUGGUAGGCUAGAGUAUGGCAGAGGGGGGUAGAAUUCCACGUGUAGCAGUGAAAUGCGUAGAGAUGUGGAGGAAUACCGAUGGCGAAGGCAGCCCCCUGGGCCAAUACUGACGCUCAUGCACGAAAGCGUGGGGGAGCAAACAGGAUUAGAUACCCUGGUAGUCCACGCCCUAAACGAUGUCAACUAGUUGUUGGGGAUUCAUUUCCUUAGUAACGUAGCUAACGCGUGAAGUUGACCGCCUGGGGAGUACGGUCGCAAGAUUAAAACUCAA
rnacentral:rRNA from 1 species